rnacentral:rRNA from 1 species
GACGAACGCUGGCGGCGUGCCUAAUACAUGCAAGUAGAACGCUGAAGGAGGAGCUUGCUUCUCUGGAUGAGUUGCGAACGGGUGAGUAACGCGUAGGUAACCUGCCUGGUAGCGGGGGAUAACUAUUGGAAACGAUAGCUAAUACCGCAUAAUAGCAGUUGUUGCAUGACAACUGUUUGAAAGGUGCAAUUGCACCACUACCAGAUGGACCUGCGUUGUAUUAGCUAGUUGGUGGGGUAACGGCUCACCAAGGCGACGAUACAUAGCCGACCUGAGAGGGUGAUCGGCCACACUGGGACUGAGACACGGCCCAGACUCCUACGGGGGGCAGCAGUAGGGAAUCUUCGGCAAUGGACGGAAGUCUGACCGAGCAACGCCGCGUGAGUGAAGAAGGUUUUCGGAUCGUAAAGCUCUGUUGUAAGAGAAGAACGAGUGUGAGAGUGGAAAGUCCACACUGUGACGGUAUCUUACCAGAAAGGGACGGCUAACUACGUG